GACGUAGGGCGCGAGCGUUGUCCGGAUUUAUUGGGCGUAAAGAGCUCGUAGGCGGCUUGUCGCGUCGACCGUGAAAACUUGGGGCUCAACCCCAAGCCUGCGGUCGAUACGGGCAGGCUAGAGUUCGGUAGGGGAGACUGGAAUUCCUGGUGUAGCGGUGAAAUGCGCAGAUAUCAGGAGGAACACCAGCGGCGAAGGCGGCGCUCUGGGCCGGAACUGACGCUGAGGAGCGAAAGCGUGGGGAGCAAACAGG
rnacentral:rRNA from 1 species